rnacentral:rRNA from 1 species
UGGGGAAUAUUGCACAAUGGGCGCAAGCCUGAUGCAGCCAUGCCGCGUGUGUGAAGAAGGCCUUCGGGUUGUAAAGCACUUUUGUCCGGAAAGAAAUCCUUGGCUCUAAUACAGUCGGGGGAUGACGGUACCGGAAGAAUAAGCACCGGCUAACUACGUGCCAGCAGCCGCGGUAAUACGUAGGGUGCAAGCGUUAAUCGGAAUUACUGGGCGUAAAGCGUGCGCAGGCGGUUUGCUAAGACCGAUGUGAAAUCCCCGGGCUCAACCUGGGAACUGCAUUGGUGACUGGCAGGCUAGAGUAUGGCAGAGGGGGGUAGAAUUCCACGUGUAGCAGGUGAAAUGCGUAGAGAUGUGGAGGAAUACCGAUGGCGAAGGCAGCCCCCUGGGCCAAUACUGACGCUCAUGCACGAAAGCGUGGGGAGCAAACAGGAUUAGAUACCCUGGUAGUCCACGCCCUAAACGAUGUCAACUAGUUGUUGGGGGAUUCAUUUUCCUUAGUAACGUAGCUAACGCGUGAAGUUGACCGCCUGGGGAGUACGGUCGCAAGAUUAAAACUCAAAUGAAUUGACGGGGUCAUAGCUGUUUCCUG